rnacentral:rRNA from 1 species
ACAAGGAGCUUGCUCCUUUGACGUUAGCGGCGGACGGGUGAGUAACACGUGGGUAACCUACCUAUAAGACUGGGAUAACUUCGGGAAACCGGAGCUAAUACCGGAUAAUAUUUCGAACCGCAUGGUUCGAUAGUGAAAGAUGGUUUUGCUAUCACUUAUAGAUGGACCCGCGCCGUAUUAGCUAGUUGGUAAGGUAACGGCUUACCAAGGCGACGAUACGUAGCCGACCUGAGAGGGUGAUCGGCCACACUGGAACUGAGACACGGUCCAGACUCCUACGGGAGGCAGCAGUAGGGAAUCUUCCGCAAUGGGCGAAAGCCUGACGGAGCAACGCCGCGUGAGUGAUGAAGGUCUUCGGAUCGUAAAACUCUGUUAUUAGGGAAGAACAUACGUGUAAGUAACUAUGCACGUCUUGACGGUACCUAAUCAGAAAGCCACGGCUAACUACGUGCCAGCAGCCGCGGUAAUACGUAGGUGGCAAGCGUUAUCCGGAAUUAUUGGGCGUAAAGCGCGCGUAGGCGGUUUUUUAAGUCUGAUGUGAAAGCCCACGGCUCAACCGUGGAGGGUCAUUGGAAACUGGAAAACUUGAGUGCAGAAGAGGAAAGUGGAAUUCCAUGUGUAGCGGUGAAAUGCGCAGAGAUAUGGAGGAACACCAGUGGCGAAGGCGACUUUCUGGUCUGUAACUGACGCUGAUGUGCGAAAGCGUGGGGAUCAAACAGGAUUAGAUACCCUGGUAGUCCACGCCGUAAACGAUGAGUGCUAAGUGUUAGGGGGUUUCCGCCCCUUAGUGCUGCAGCUAACGCAUUAUGCACUCCGCCUGGG